GUGCCAGCAGCCGCGGUAAUACGUAGGUGGCAAGCGUUGUCCGGAAUUAUUGGGCGUAAAGCGCGCGCAGGCGGUCUCUUAAGUCUGAUGUGAAAGCCCCCGGCUCAACCGGGGAGGGUCAUUGGAAACUGGGAGACUUGAGUGCAGGAGAGGGAAGUGGAAUUCCAUGUGUAGCGGUGAAAUGCGUAGAGAUAUGGAGGAACACCAGUGGCGAAGGCGGCUUCCUGGCCUGUAACUGACGCUGAGGCGCGAAAGCGUGGGGAGCAAACAGGAUUAGAUACCCUGGUAGUCCACGCCGUAAACGAUGAGUGCUAGGUGUUAGGGGGUUUCCGCCCCUUAGUGCUGCCAGCUAACGCAUUAAGCACUCCGCCUGGGGAGUACGGUCGCAAGACUGAAACUCAAAGGAAUUGACGG
rnacentral:rRNA from 1 species